CCUACGGGAGGCAGCAGUGGGGGAUAUUGGACAAUGGGGGGAACCCUGAUCCAGCGACGCCGCGUGAGUGAAGAAGUAUUUCGGUAUGUAAAGCUCUGUCAGCAGGGAAGAAAGCAAUGACGGUACCUGACCAAGAAGCCCCGGCUAACUACGCGCCAGCAGCCGCGGAAAUACGUAGGGGGCACGCGUUAUCCGGAUUUACUGGGUGUAAAGGGAGUGUAGACGGCUGUGCAAGUCUGGUGUGAAAGGCGGGGGCCCAACCCCCGGACUGCUCUGGAAACUGUAUGGCUGGAGUGCAGGAGAGGUAAGUGGAAUUCCUAGUGUAGCGGUGAAAUGCGUAGAUAUUAGGAGGAACACCAGUGGCGAAGGCGACUUACUGGACUGUAACUGACGUUGAGGCUCGAAAGCGUGGGGAGCAAACAGGAUUAGAUACCCCUGUAGUC
rnacentral:rRNA from 1 species